rnacentral:rRNA from 1 species
AGAGUUUGAUCCUGGCUCAGGUUACUGCUAUCGAGGUUCGACUAAGCCAUGCGAGUCGAAUGUAGCAAUACAUGGCGUACUGCUCAGUAACACGUGGACAACCUACCCUCAGGUCGGGGAUAAACCCGGGAAACUGGGUAUAAUACCCGAUAGAUCUCGGCUGCUGGAAUGCAUCGAGAUCUAAAGCUCCGGCGCCUGAGGAUGGGUCUGCGGCCUAUCAGGUAGUAGUGGGUGUAGCGUACCUACUAGCCUACGACGGGUACGGGUUGUGAGAGCAAGAGCCCGGAGAUGGAUUCUGAGACACGAAUCCAGGCCCUACGGGGUGCAGCAGGCGCGAAAACUUUACAAUGCCGGCAACGGCGAUAAGGGGACCUCGAGUGCCAGGUUACAAAUCUGGCUGUCGUGAUGCCUAAAAAGCAUUGCAUAGCAAGGGCCGGGCAAGACCGGUGCCAGCCGCCGCGGUAACACCGGCGGCUCGAGUGGUAACCGUUAUUAUUGGGUCUAAAGGGUCUGUAGCCGGCCGGAUAAGUCUCUUGGGAAAUCCAGCAGCUCAACUGUUGGGCUUUCAGGAGAUACUGUCUGGCUCGAGGCCGGGAGAGGUGAGAGGUACUUCAGGGGUAGGGGUGAAAUCUUGUAAUCCUUGAAGGACCACCAGUGGCGAAGGCGUCUCACCAGAACGGACCUGACGGCAAGGGACGAAAGCUAGGGGCACGAACCGGAUUAGAUACCCGGGUAGUCCUAGCCGUAAACGAUACUCGCUAGGUGUCGGCCACGGUGCGACCGUUGUCGGUGCCGUAGGGAAGCCGUGAAGCGAGCCACCUGGGAAGUACGGCCGCAAGGCUGAAACUCAAAUGAAUUGACGG